rnacentral:rRNA from 1 species
AUGAUUGUACUGAAGCUUGAUUUUCAAAAAGCGUUUGACAGUGUUAGCUGGGAGGCUCUAAAACAAAUCCUUGCAGCAAGGGGCUUUGGGGAUAGAUGGAUCAGAUGGGUGGAUGAUAUCCUAGCCUCUAGUUCCUCCAGAAUUUUUAUCAACGACACUCCCGGCGAAAGGAUCCUAUCAAAGUGUGGCCUACGGCAGGGGGAUGCCCUGUCUCCAUACCUUUUCAUUUUGGUCGCAGAUAUUCUACAACAGCUCUGCCAGAAGGAGUACCAGGAGGGGAACCUAGUGCACCCCUUGGGAGCUGACGGGCCGUUCCCAAUCCUGCAGUACGCGGAUGACACGCUCAUUCUGUUGAGUUGA